UACGUAGGGGGCAAGCGUUCUCCGGUUUUAUUGGGCGUAAAGGGUCCGCAGGCGGUUGAUCGCGUUCUCCAUGACAGUUCUCGGCUCAACUGAGAAAGCGUGGGGAAAACGGGUCAACUUGAGGACUUCAGAGGGAUGUGGAACUCCAGGUGGAGCGGUGACAUGCGUAGAUAUCUGGAAGAACACCAAUGGCGAAGGCAGCAUCCUGGGAAGUUCCUGACGCUCAGGGACGAAAGCUAGGGGAG
rnacentral:rRNA from 1 species